AUUGAACGCUGGCGGCAGGCCUAACACAUGCAAGUCGGGCGAGCGGCGGACGGGUGAGUAAUGUAUGGGGACUGCCUGAUGGAGGGGGAUAACUACUGGAAACGGUAGCUAAUACCGCAUACCAUCAGAUAACCCAUAUGGUAUUAGCUUGUAGGUGCGGUAACGGCUCACCUAGGCGACGAUCUCUAGCUAGUCUGAGAGGAGGACCAGCAACACAGCGACGAAGACACGGCCCAUACUACUACGAAGGCAGCAGGGGGGAGUAUUGCGCAAUGGGGGCAACACUGACGCAGCCAGGACGCGUGAAUGAAGAAGGCCUGCGGGUUGUAAAGUUGUUUCGGUAGCGAGGCGUUAACAACAGAAGAAGAACCGGCUAACUCCGUGACAGCCGCCGCGGUAAUAC
rnacentral:rRNA from 1 species